rnacentral:ncRNA from 1 species
AGGGGUGGAGCCUGUGGCUUAAUUUGAAUCAACACGGGGAAACUUACCAGGACCAGAUGUUUUUUAUGACUGACAGGCUUCGGGUCUUUCAGGAUAUUGUUUUUGGUGGUGCAUGGCCGUUGGUGGUGCGUGGGUUGACCUGUCUAGCGUUGAUUCAGCUAACGAGCGAGAUUAUCGCCAAUUAUUUACUUUGCCGAAGUCCUUCGGUUAAAGUUCUAAUUGGGACUCCCUGCGAUUUUAGCAGGUGGAAGAGGGUAGCAAUAACAGGUCCGUGAUGCCCUUUAGAUGCUCUGGGCUGCACGCGUGCUACAAUGUUAGGAUCAAUAGGACUGCGAGCCUGAGAGGGUGCGCUACUCUUAUAAUCCCUAACGUAGUUGGGAUUGACGUUUGUAAUCAGCGUCAUGAACCAGGAAUCCCUUGUAAAUGUGUGUCAACAACGCACGUUGAAUACGUCCCUGCCCUUUGUACACACCGCCCGUCGCUCCUACCGAUUGGAUGACUCGGUGAAAUCACCGGAUGCUUACGAGCAGAAAGUGAUUAAAUCACGUUAUCUAGAGGAAGGAGAAGUCGUAACAAGGUAACGGUAGGUGAACCUGCCGUUGGAUCAGUU